rnacentral:lncRNA from 1 species
CGAGGGAGUCGCUUCUCAGUCUCCCCUGUAGGAGCAGGAGUUGGUGAUGAGUCCCGGAGGAUGGAACCUUUGUCUGGCGCAUCUCUGCACGUCACAGGGCUUCGCACCCAGAGCGUAUUCUCCACGCCUCCUGUCUACUGAGCUGCCGGGACGGGUGGUGCUUCGAGCACCUCAGCAGACACUUGUGGGGCUGAGCGGAGCCCGCAAGGGGUCGGCCAGGAGGAAGAGAUGGAAGAGAUGACGGAAAAGCUCAGUCCUCAGCAGGUGGCUUUGGAAGGGAGGGAAAUGCACUUUUACCAGCAAGAGGUCAUGGAAACACUCGACCCAAGAGGGUGGGAGCCCCGAGACCCAAAAGAAAGGGUCUCACUAUGUAGCCCUGGCUGGCCUUGAACUCACAGCCAUCCAUCAUGCCCAGCCCAGCCUAUGUAGAUGUUGGCCUCCGCUCUGAAAAGGAAGAUCACAGGUUCAAGCUCAGCCUGAUUCUGGAUCCACUCUCGGCCACACAGCCUCGGCUCCUUGGAGAACUCCAGUCGACUAUGGCUCACAGAACACACGAGAAAGCCCUGGGCCCACAGAUGAAUGCACCCUCAGCUCCCCAAACUGAGAGAAGCCCAUGUGCAGGGCCUGUCCCCCGAGAGAGCCCAAGAGAGAAAAUCCCUGACAUCCACACUGACGGCUCCAAGCGCCCUUUCAGCACUCCCCAAACUGAAC